rnacentral:misc_RNA from 1 species
GAAAUGCGAUAAGUAAUGUGAAUUGCAGAAUUCAGUGAAUCAUCGAAUCUUUGAACGCAUCUUGCGCUCCUUGGUAUUCCUUGGAGCAUGCCUGUUUGAGUAUCAUGAAAUCUUCAAAGUAAAUCUUUUGUUAACUCAAUUGGUUUCUACUUUGGUAUUGGAGGUCUUUGCAGCUUCACACCUGCUCCUCUUUGUUCAUUAGCUGGAUCUCAGUGUUAUGCUUGGUUCCUCUCGGCGUGAUAAGUUAUCUAUCGCUGAGGACACUGUAAAAGGUGGCCAAGGUAAAUGCAGAUGAACCGCUUCUAAUAGUCCAUUGACUUGGACAAUACUUUUAUGAUCUGAUCUCAAAUCAGGUAGGACUACCCGCUGAACUUAAGC